GCAAUUCUCUACUGUAAGUCGCUCUGGAUAAGAGCGUCUGCUAAAUGACUUAAA
rfam:Salmo salar isolate Sally breed double haploid chromosome ssa03, whole genome shotgun sequence.